rnacentral:rRNA from 1 species
GAUGAACGCUGACAGAAUGCUUAACACAUGCAAGUCUACUUGAAUUUGGGUUUUUUCACUUAGAUUUGGGUGGCGGAGGGGUGAGUAACGCGUAAUGAACUUGCCUUACAGCUAGGGACAACAUUUGGAAACGAAUGCUAAUACGUGAUAUUAUGAUUAUAAGGCAUUUUAGAAUUGUGAAAGCUAUAUGUGCUGGGGGAGAGCGUUGCGUCUCAUUAGCUAGUUGGCGAGGUAACGGAUCACCAGGGCGAGGAUGGGCAGCCGGCCUGAGAGGGUGAACGCCCACAAGGGAACGGAAACACGGCCAGUACUCCUACGGGAGGCAGCAGGGGGGAAUAUUGGCCAAUGGACCAAGAGUCAGAUCCAGCAACUCUGUGUGCACGAUCACGUUUUUCGGAAUAUAAAGUGCUUUCAGUGGAAAAAAAAAAAAUGACGGUACCAACAGAAGAAGUGACGGCUAAAUACGUG